CCGCCUGCCCGUGAUUUAUUUAACGGCCGCGGUAUCUUGACCGUGCAAAGGUAGCACAAUCAAUUGUUCUUUAAAUAGGGACUAGUAUGAACGGCAUCACGAAGGUUUAACUGUCUCCCCCCUUCAAUCAAUGAAAUUGAUCUUUCCGUGAAGAAGCGGAAAUAUAUAUAUAAGACGAAAAGACCCCAUGGAGCUUUAAACUUAUCAUUACUUACCUUAACCUAAAACAUCAUAUUAGGUAAACCUAUAAUGUAGUUUUCGGGUGGGGCGACCCUGGAGAAAAACUAAUCCUCCAAGCUGAAUAGAUUUAACUCUAAUGCUAGAAUGACAAUUCAAACAAUCAAAAUAUUGACAAAAUGAUCCAGAAUAUAUCUGAUCAACGAACCAAGUUACCCUGGG
rnacentral:rRNA from 1 species